UGAGGUCUUAUAGAGGACUGGGACUAGACUGAGGUCUUAUGGAGGACUGAGACUAGACUGAGGUCUUAUAGAGGGUCGGGACUAGACUGAGGUCUUAUAGAGGACCGAGACUAGACCGAGGUCUUAUGGAGGACUGAGACUAGACUGAGGUCUUAUGGAGAACAGGGACUAGACUGAGGUCUUAUGGAGGACUGGGACUAGACUGAGGUCUUAUGGAGAACAGGGACUAGACUGAGGUCUUAUAGAGGACCGAGACUAGACCGAGGUCUUAUGGAGGACUGAGACUAGACCGAGGUCUUAUGGAGAACAGGGACUAGACUGAGGUCUUAUAGAGGACCAGGACUAGACCGAGGUCUUAUGGAGAACAGGGACUAGACCGAGGUCUUAUGGAGGACCGAGACUAGACUGAGGUCUUAUGGAGGACUGAGACUAGACCGAGGUCUUAUGGAGAACAGGGACUAGACUGAGGUCUUAUAGAGGACCGAGACUAGACUGAGGUCUUAUGGAGGACUGAGACUAGACCGAGGUCUUAUGGAGAACAGGGACUAGACUGAGGUCUUAUAGAGGACCAGGACUAGACCGAGGUCUUAUGGAGAACAGGGACUAGACCGAGGUCUUAUGGAGGACCGAGACUAGACUGAGGUCUUAUGGAGGACUGAGACUAGACCGAGGUCUUAUGGAGGACUGGGACUAGACCGAGGUCUUAUAAAGGACCAGGACUAGACUGAGGUCUCUUCUUUGAGCGCCGGUGGUUUUUAACGGCCAUCUGUUCUCCGCCUCGUUCAUUUUCACUCUCGACACUAUUUGGCAUCAACUGCUGACCUUUUUUUCUUCUUCUCAUUGUUAUGCGUAAGCAGCUUUUCUCACAGAAUCUGAGAGAUCUCGUUGAAACGUGAUAUUAAAUCACCUGUGAAAUAGA